CGUGAGGUCGGACUCCAGGCUGCCGGCUGUGCCCUCGCUGGCGCUGCCAGCGCAGCCAAGGGAUUUUUGGCUACUAAAAACUUGAGAACUAAAUUCUAUGAUCCAGACUCAGCCCCACACCUAGUGUCCCAGCACGGAGGAUGCAAAUUAAAAGUUGAGUCAGAGACCCUCUGGCAGGAAGAAAACAGCCCAAUCACGUUCAUCUGGUUUCUGGAGUUUGUGACAAAGCCUGUCUACAUCAGGAGGUCUGAAGAUUGGAAAGGGCUGUCUCUCAAUAGAGCUCUUUCUCUACAAGACAAAGUGAUACACAGUUUGCAACAUGUCCCCUGCAUUUGAAAGAAUUACUAAGAAGAUGGUCAGAAAGCAUGUGAGCAAAGACAUGAAGCCUAUCAAACACCCGUUCAGCGCUACCAAGUUCCGUCGGCUCAGUUUAUUCCGGGAUCGGUCUCACUUCAGGUUUCUGG